rnacentral:piRNA from 1 species
CUCUGGAGCAGCUGAAGGACAGCG